UGGGAGGUCGUUCAACGGUAGGACACGCGGCUCUGGACCGUGGAAUCGGGGUUCGAAUCCCUGCCUCCCAGCCA
rnacentral:tRNA from 1 species